GGCAGGGGCUGAGGGCACAGCCAGCGGGCGGCGCGCCGCGGACUCCAAGGCAGCCCGCCAAAAGAAUCCUGAACAUCAUCAUAAAAAGACAGUCACCAGUCCUGCUCAUCUGGAGGACUGUUCUCACAAUCUUCAGCAAGGAGAAACUAGUUGCUACUCAAUUUGGUUCAAUGUAUGUUAGAGAAUUCGCUUCUAUGUGGAGUGCAGUAUGCUGGAGAGGGGCCAUCAACACACCCAGUUCUCUUGCAUGAAGAGUCUACCCUGGUGCCAGAACCUGCCUUGACUCCAAAGAUAAGUUGAGACUGUCCUACUUUAUCUUACUUUUCAUCCUUACUACCCUCUCCCAGCAACGCUUCCCCACCCACAUGUACAUAUGUGCCAGAUGACA
rnacentral:lncRNA from 1 species